rnacentral:rRNA from 1 species
UACGUAGGGUGCGAGCGUUGUCCGGAAUUAUUGGGCGUAAAGAGCUCGUCGGCGGUUUGUUGCGUCGGCCGUGAAAACCUGCAGCUUAACUGUGGGCCUGCGGCCGAUACGGGCAGACUUGAGUUCGGUAGGGGAGACUGGAAUUCCUGGUGUAGCGGUGAAAUGCGCAGAUAUCAGGAGGAACACCGGUGGCGAAGGCGGGUCUCUGGGCCGAUACUGACGCUGAGGAGCGAAAGCGCGGGGAGCGAACAGG